UUUUAGGUGAAACAUGUUCUUGAAAAUUGCAAGGAAGAUAUGGAUUUCUUCAACAAUUGUAUUGAGAAAGGGAUCAUCGAUCGUUUGAGUGAUGUUGAGAAAAGGUUUGUGCGAAUGAAGUACACAGAUGCAGUUGAACUGCUUCUAUAAUCAAAGAAGAAAUUUGAAUUUCCGGUGAAAUGGGGAUGUGAAUUGCAAAGUGAGCAUGAACAUUAUACAACUGAGGAGGCUUUUAAUGGAUGUCCUGUUAUUAUAACAAACUAC